rnacentral:rRNA from 1 species
CCCGAACACGGAAGUUAAGCCCUCCAGCGCCGAUGGUACUUGGGGAUGACCCCUGGGAGAGUAGGUCGUUGCCAGGC